UAAGGGCACAUGACAUAGCCAAAAUAACCACAAUGGACAACAUUUCAUUUAUACAUUUUACUCAUCCAUGAAAAUAUCAUCUUCUAUUUAUAAAUCAACAUGAGUAUUGACCAUUAGCCAUGGCCUUAUACAAAAUGAGUAUCAUAUUCAUCAUAUGAGCGAACACAUUAUCGGUAACUAACAAAACACUAAACAAAGACUCGAAUCCCUAUACAUUCC
rnacentral:lncRNA from 1 species